GCUUGGUUCUCGCCCUGUCUUAGGUUGCCGCUGCAGAGGGGGGGUUGUUGGGUGAACGCCCCGGUACAGACAUAUAGGGUGGCGCAUAUGGCUUGAGUCGUAGUGGGCAACCCGGGGGGGUUUUGCUCAUAGGGCCCUCUAAUCUGCAUGUCGUAUCGGCAUGGUGGUCUAUCUGUCGGGGUGGGGGGCGGUACUUUGCUAACAUUUUGGUGGUUUUGUCCCCGCCAUUAGGGUUGCUGUAGGAGUAGU